rnacentral:rRNA from 1 species
AUUGAACGCUGGCGGCAGGCUUCAUACAUGCAAGUCGAGCGAGCGGCGGAGGGGUGAGUAAUGUCUGGGAACCUGCCUGAUGGAGGGGGAUAACUAGUGGAAACGGUAGCUAAUACCGCAUACCAUCCGAUGUGCCCAGAUGGGAUUAGCUAGUGGGUGGGGUAAUGGCUCACCUAGGCGACGAUGCAUAGCUGGUCUGAGAGGGGGAACAGCCACACUGGAACUGAGACACGGUCCAGACUCCUACGGGAGGCAGCAGUGGGGAAUAGUGCGCAAUGGGCGCAAGCCUGAUGGAGCAAUGCCGCGUGUGUGAAGAAGGUCUUCGGGUUGUAAAACACUGUCAGUGAGGAAGCGUUACCUAAACAAAAAGCACCGGCUAACUCCGUGCCAGCAGCCGCGGUAAUUC